rnacentral:rRNA from 1 species
CAGCAGCCACGGGAAUACAGAGGGUGCGAGCGUUAAUCGGAUUUACUGGGCGUAAAGCGUGCGUAGGCGGUUUGUUGCGUCGGGAGUGAAAACCCAGGGCUUAACUUUGGGCUUGCUUUCGAUACGGGCAGACUUGAGGCAUUGAGGGGAGAACGGAAUUCCUGGUGUAGCGGUGAAAUGCGCAGAUAUCAGGAGGAACACCGGUGGCGAAGGCGGUUCUCUGGCAAUGUUCUGACGCUGAGGAGCGAAAGUGUGGGGAGCGAACAGGAUUAGAUACCCCUGUAGUCCCUGUCUCUUAUAC